AUUGAACGCUGGCGGCAUGCUUUACACAUGCAAGUCGAACGGUAACAGGGAGCUUGCUCCGCUGACGAGUGGCGAACGGGUGAGUAAUGCAUCGGAACGUACCCAGUCGUGGGGGAUAACGUAGCGAAAGUUACGCUAAUACCGCAUACGUCCUGAGGGAGAAAGCGGGGGACCGAAAGGCCUCGCGCGAUUGGAGCGGCCGAUGUCGGAUUAGCUAGUUGGUGGGGUAAAGGCCCACCAAGGCGACGAUCGAUAGCUGGUCUGAGAGGAUGAUCAGCCACACUGGAACUGAGACACGGUCCAGACUCCUACGGGAGGCAGCAGUAGGGAAUAUUGGACAAUGGGGGCAACCCUGAUCCAGCCAUGCCGCGUGAGUGAAGAAGGCCCUCGGGUUGUAAAGCUCUUUUGUCCGGAAAGAAAGCAUCUGGUUAAUACCCGGGUGUUCUGACGGUACCGGAAGAAUAAGCACCGGCUAACUUCGUGCCAGCAGCCG
rnacentral:rRNA from 1 species